rnacentral:rRNA from 1 species
GUGAGGAAUAUUGCACAAUGGGGGGAACCCUGAUGCAGCAACGCCGCGUGGAGGAUGACGCAUUUCGGUGUGUAAACUCCUUUUAUAUGUCAAGAAAAUGACGGUAGCAUAUGAAUAAGCACCGGCUAACUCCGUGCCAGCAGCCGCGGUAAUACGGAGGGUGCAAGCGUUACUCGGAAUCACUGGGCGUAAAGGACGCGUAGGCUGUUUAGCAAGUCAGAUGUGAAAUCCAAUGGCUCAACCAUUGAACUGCAUUUGAAACUGCUAGACUAGAGUAUGGGAGGGGGAGAUGGAAUUAGUGGUGUAGGGGUAAAAUCCGUAGAUAUCACUAGGAAUACCUAAAGCGAAGGCGAUCUCCUGGAACAUUACUGACGCUAAGGCGUGAAAGCGUGGGGAGCAAACAGGAUUAGAUACCCCUGUAGUCC